GAUGAACGCUGGCGGCGUGCCUAACACAUGCAGGUCGAGCGUGAUUUAUGAGGACGAAACUUCGGUCUAGGAAUCAUAAUGAAAGCGGCGGACGGGUGAGUAACGCGUAGGCAACCUGCCCUUAACACAGGGAUAGCCUCGGGAAACCGGGAUUAAAACCUGAUGAUGCCAAAGAGUCACAUGGCUCGUUGGCCAAAGAUUUAUCGGUUAAGGAUGGGCCUGCGUCUGAUUAGUUUGUUGGUGGGGUAACGGCCUACCAAGACUACGAUCAGUAGCCGACCUGAGAGGGUGAUCGGCCACAUUGGAACUGAGACACGGUCCAAACUCCUACGGGAGGCAGCAGCGGGGAAUAUUGCACAAUGGGCGAAAGCCUGAUGCAGCAACGCCGCGUGAGCGAUGAAGGCCUUUGGGUCGUAAAGCUCUGUCCUUGGGGAAGAAACAAAUGACGGUACCCAAGGAGGAAGCCCCGGCUAACUACGUGCCAGCCGCCGCAGUAA
rnacentral:rRNA from 1 species